rnacentral:rRNA from 1 species
UAAUGAUUACUCUAGCGGUGGAUCACUCGGCUCGUG